rnacentral:rRNA from 1 species
UACGAAGGGGGCUAGCGUUGCUCGGAAUCACUGGGCGUAAAGCGCACGUAGGUGGGUCGUUAAGUCGGGGGUGAAAUCCUGGAGCUCAACUCCAGAACUGCCUUUGAUACUGGAAAGCUUGAGUUCGAGAGAGGUGAGUGGAACUGCGAGUGUAGAGGUGAAAUUCGUAGAUAUUCGCAAGAACACCAGUGGCGAAGGCGGCUCACUGGCUCGAUACUGACGCUGAGGUGCGAAAGCGUGGGGAGCAAACAGG